GCGUAAUAGCUCACUGGUCGAGUCGGCCUGCGCGGAAGAUGUAACGGGGCUAAACCAUGCACCGAAGCUGCGGCAGCGACGCUGAUGCGUUGUUGGGUAGGGGAGCGUUCUGUAAGCCUGUGAAGGUGUGCUGUGAGGCAUGCUGGAGGUAUCAGAAGUGCGAAUGCUGACAUAAGUAACGAUAAAGCGGGUGAAAAGCCCGCUCGCCGGA
rnacentral:rRNA from 1 species